rnacentral:rRNA from 1 species
UAGGGAAUCUUCCACAAUGGACGCAAGUCUGAUGGAGCAACGCCGCGUGAGCGAAGAAGGNNUCGGAUCGUAAAGCUCUGUUGUUGGUGAAGAAGGAUAGAGGUAGUAACUGGCCUUUAUUUGACGGUAAUCAACCAGAAAGUCACGGCUAACUACGUGCCAGCAGCCGCGGUAAUACGUAGGUGGCAAGCGUUGUCCGGAUUUAUUGGGCGUAAAGCGAGCGCAGGCGGAAGAAUAAGUCUGAUGUGAAAGCCCUCGGCUUAACCGAGGAACUGCAUCGGAAACUGUUUUUCUUGAGUGCAGAAGAGGAGAGUGGAACUCCAUGUGUAGCGGUGGAAUGCGUAGAUAUAUGGAAGAACACCAGUGGCGAAGGCGGCUCUCUGGUCUGCAACUGACGCUGAGGCUCGAAAGCAUGGGUAGCGAACAGGAUUAGAUACCCUGGUAGUCCAUGCCGUAAACGAUGAGUGCUAAGUGUUGGGAGGUUUCCGCCUCUCAGUGCUGCAGCUAACGCAUUAAGCACUCCGCCUGGGGAGUACGACCGCAAGGUUG